UGAUGAAAGCUUUUCUUAGGACUAGAUCUUUGGGUUGGAACUACUAGAUCUUGCUCUUUUGUUGUAGCUAAAGAGGAGUUGCUGCUGGUAGGCUGCCAUGCGGGUGUUGGUCUGCUCGCGUUUCUCCUCUGCCAGAUCUAAGGUUGUGGCCAUCUCUUUACUAUUUUGAUCGAUGUUUGGCAGUAGAGUGCUGAUACUUGGCAUGAUGACAUUGGGAGGAAUGAUUCUGAACCAAAUGCCAAAGAGAAAGGAGUCUCAUCGAUGGCUCAUCGUUUGGUGGUGCGAUAUGCCCAUAGACAUUCGGCGAGUUCAUCUGGCCAUUUUCCCUUUUUGUUUGAGAAGGAUUUCUUGAGGUUGUUGAGCAUUGUCUUGUUGGAUGCUUCGGCCUGCCCAUUGCCUUAAGGAUAUCUCGGCAUGGACAUGUGUUGCUUGAUGCCAUACUUUUGGAAGAACUUCGCCAAAUCUUUGCCCAUAAAUUACGGUCCGUUGUUAGUGACGAUGGACUGAAGGAUGCCAAAUUGAGUGGGCAAGAAACUUAGUGCAUUUCUUGUGGGCGUUGUUUGCCCACAUAACUUGAGUGAGGGUGUAAGUCUAAAAUGCCUUAAGUUUCUUGCAUACUUUUUCUAAGUAUUGCACCUUCCUUGGAUGUUUUGCCUUGUGCUCCCCAAUAAUCUGGCCGGUGAUUAGCUGGGAAUCAGAAUGGAUUGCAAGCUUUUUCACCGCCAAGUCUUUUUCCAUUCAAGGACCUGCUAGUAAGGCUUUGUAGUUUGCUUCGUUGUUGGAUACCUUGAAGCCUAGAGUAAUCGUAUGCUUGAGCAUCGAACCGUCUGGGGUGACAAGGACCAUGCUGGCUUCCGAUCCUUUGUAGUUGGAUGCAUCGUCGACAUGCAAAUGCCAAAAGUCUCCAUUAGGCGAAGCAGGCGUGGCUAGGGUGUGCUAGGUUGCUUCUGGAGCACCAUUGGGUCGCUCUGUUAGAUCCCCUGGGCUAGACAUGAAGGUGCGGUAGGGAGUCGUGGAGAUGGGGCCAUGUUACACGUAGUAGAAGAUGCUCAACUGCCGGUAUUGAGCCACUCUAGAGCUGAAUUAUAGAGCAAGGGUCAGCUAGGGCCAUGUGACGCGCAACAGGUGGUGGUACUCAACUGCCGGUACAUGUUGCUCUUAUGUAGAAUCUUCUAGGGCGACGAGGACAAAACUUGCUUCUGAGUGUCCUUCUAGUGUUCGUCUGCCCUUGACAUGCCUUUUGGGCUUAGUUGUUGCUUUCGUAAAAAAACUUUGUACCACCAGUGUCUGUGCCUUUAUUGUCGUGCAUCUGGAUUGGGAGAAAUAGUGCAUCAUGAGGAUGACUGCGUGCAUAUGAAGGUAUAACUUCAGCUCUGGGUUGCAACAACUAUCGCCAAAGUUAGCUUUUGAAUUUCUGGUAGUUGGUUUCAAUAUCGAUGAAGCUUUUGAACUAUGGAAUACAGGUAGUCGGGCCUCC
rnacentral:lncRNA from 1 species